rnacentral:tRNA from 1 species
GCGUCGGUGGUGGAGUGGUCAAUCACAACAGACUGUAAAUCUGUCGCCUCCGGGCUUCGUUGGUUCAAAUCCAACCCGGCGCA